GCCCGGAUGGUCUAGUGGUAUGAUUCCUGCUUCGGGUGCAGGAGGUCCCGCGUUCGAAUCGCGGUUCGGGCC
rnacentral:tRNA from 6 species